rnacentral:lncRNA from 1 species
GCUGCUAAGUUCUUAUUCUCUGCUUCUUUUAUUGUCUUCAGCUCUGCAUCUUUAGGAUUCUCAACCGCUGCUAAGUUCUUAUCCGCUGCUGCUUUUAUCAUCUUCAGCUCUGUAUCUUUAGGACUCGCAACCGCUGCUAAGUUCUUAUCGUCUGCUUCUUUUACUGUCUUCAGCUCUGCAUCUUUAGGACUCGCAACCGCUGCUAAGUUCUUAUCCUCGGCUUCUUUUAUUGUCUUCAGGAGGUCUGCUUUUUUCUGCUGAAGAGCUUCCAGUUUGGCAUUGAUCUUAUCCAAC